rnacentral:misc_RNA from 1 species
GAAAUGCGAUAAGUAGUGUGAAUUGCAGAAUUCAGUGAAUCAUCGAAUCUUUGAAUGCACAUUGCGCCCCUCGGUAUUCCGUGGGGCAUGCCUGUUCGAGCGUCAUCUACACCCUCAAGCUCUGCUUGGUGUUGGGCGUCUGUCCCGCCUCCUUCGCGCGCGGACUCGCCCCAAAUCCAUUGGCGGCGGCCCUUGCCUCCCUCUCGCGCAGCACAUUGCGCUUCUCGAGGCGCGGCGGACCGCGUCCAGCAAGCAACCGUCACACCGUCUUUGACCUCGGAUCAGGUAGGGAUACACGCUGAACUUAAGC